ensembl:lncRNA
UAGACCAUAGUGUGUUAUCAUUUCAGUAGUAGACCAGUUAGACCAUAGUGUGUUAUCAUUUCAGUAGUAGACCAGUUAGACCAUAGUGGUUAAGUAAGGAGACUUAACAUCUGAGAGAUGUACAGUAGCUAUACAUUAUGUUCCUGAUAAGACUAUGUAACACUGUACAUAAGGACUAUGUAACACUGUACAUAAGGACUACUUAACAGAUCAACCUGCAGCUGUUGACAUAAGCAUUUAUGAACUGUUUAUGCACUUCCUAUGAAUGUGUAAUGAAUGUUUUAUGAUGUCCUUACAGUAUCUAUGUACCCGUCAAAUAAAGUGUUCCCAACUACUGUAUGUACUGAGACUGGAGUUCGGACUAAAUGAGAGAAAGGACUUCAUGGCACUGCCUUGGCUUUUAAGCUGGUAUGGCACUAGGCCUGGUUUGGCACUAGGCUUGGUUUGGCACUAGGCUUUGUUUGGCACUAGGCUUGGCACUAGGCAUGGUUUGGCACUAGGCUUGGCACUAGGCAUGGUUUGGCACUAGGCUUGGCACUAGGCCUGGUUUGGCACUAGGCAUGGUUUGGCACUAGGCAUGGUUUGGCACGAGGCAUGGUUUGGCAGGCAUGGUUUGGCACGAGGCAUGGUUUGGCACGAGGCAUGGUUUGGCACUAGGCAUGGCUUGGCACUAGGCAUGGCUUGGCACUAGGCCUGGUUUGGCACUAGGUCUGGUUUGGCACUAGGCCUGGUUUGGCACUAGGCCUGGUUUGGCACUAGGCUUGGUUUGGCACUAGGCUUGGUUUGGCACUAGGCAUGGUUUGGCACGGUUUGGCACUAGGCAUGGUUUGGCACUAGGCUUGGCACUAGGCUUGGUUUGGCACUAGGCUUGGCACUAGGCUUGGUUUGGCACUAGGCAUGGUUUGGCACUAGGCUUGGUUUGGCACUAGGCUUGGCACUAGGCUUGGUUUGGCACUAGGCAUGGUUUGGCACUAGGCAUGGUUUGGCACUAGGCAUGGUUUGGCACUAGGCUUGGUUUGGCACUAGGCAUGGUUUGGCACUAGGCUUGGUUUGGCACUAGGCUUGGUUUGGCACUAGGCAUGGUUUGGCACUAGGCUUGGUUUGGCACUAGGCUUGGUUUGGUACUAGGCUUGGUUUGGCACUAGGCUUGGUUUGGCACUAGGCUUGGUUUGGCACUAGGCAUGGUUUGACACUAGGCAUGGUUUGGCACGGUUUGGCACUAGGCUUGGUUUGGCACUAGGCAUGGUUUGACACUAGGCAUGGUUUGGCACGGUUUGGCACUAGGCUUGGUUUGGCACUAGGCAUGGUUUGACACUAGGCAUGGUUUGACUGGUUGGCUAACAACAACAACUCAGAGCCUUUGAUUAUAAAUCUAAAAUGCACACUAGAUUGAAUGAGAGAAAUCUGAUUAAGCUUUUCCUCUGAUGCAAAUGAACAUGCAUCACGAACAUCACAGUGACGCAGUCCCCGCAGGCUGCUCUUCCUCAAACUGUACUGAGGUUCUCCAUAGAAACGUCUAUUUCUCUGGGUGUUCAGAUUAAGCAGUAGCUACAGUAACUGGUAGAGACUACCAACUACACUAAAGACUGGCGAGGGUAGCAUGCUUUACAGCACACACAAUAUGACUCAAUUCAGGAUGUGAAAAGAUAACGGACACUGUUAUUUGUCGUUUUAAGAAAUACAGUAUGGAAGUUUUCACCAUUGAUCACCAAAGAGGCUUCUUACUGGUAAUAGUAAACACCAAAUGUGAGUGAUCAAGGA